AUUGAACGCUGGCGGCAGGCCUAACACAUGCAAGUCGAACGGUAACAGGAAACAGCUUGCUGUUUCGCUGACGAGUGGCGGACGGGUGAGUAAUGUCUGGGAAACUGCCUGAUGGAGGGGGAUAACUACUGGAAACGGUAGCUAAUACCGCAUAACGUCUUCGGACCAAAGUGGGGGACCUUCGGGCCUCACACCAUCGGAUGUGCCCAGAUGGGAUUAGCUAGUAGGUGGGGUAAUGGCUCACCUAGGCGACGAUCCCUAGCUGGUCUGAGAGGAUGACCAGCCACACUGGAACUGAGACACGGUCCAGACUCCUACGGGAGGCAGCAGUGGGGAAUAUUGCACAAUGGGCGCAAGCCUGAUGCAGCCAUGCCGCGUGUAUGAAGAAGGCCUUCGGGUUGUAAAGUACUUUCAGCGGGGAGGAAGGCAGUAAAGUUAAUAACUUCGCUGAUUGACGUUACCCGCAGAAGAAGCACCGGCUAACUCCGUGCCAGCAGCCGCAGUAA
rnacentral:rRNA from 1 species